AACCUUUACACUGCACGACAGUGCGAUAGGGGGACUCCGAGUGCGAGGGCAUAGAGCCCUCGCUUUUGUACACCGUAAGGUGGUGUACGAAUAAGAACUGGGCAAGACCGGUGCCAGCCGCCGCGGUAAUACCGGCAGUUCGAGUGAUGGCCGAUUUUAUUGGGCCUAAAGCGUUCGUAGCUGGCUGAUCAAGUCUGUCGGGAAAUCUGCUCGCCUAACGAGCAGGCGUCCGGCGGAAACUGAUCGGCUUGGGACCGGAAGACUCGAGGGGUACGUCCGGGGUAGGAGUGAAAUCCUGUAAUCCUGGACGGACCACCGAUGGCGAAAGCACCUCGAGAGCACGGAUCCGACAGUGAGGAACGAAAGCUGGGGUCUCGAACCGGAUUAGAUACCCGGGUAGUCCCAGCUGUCAACGAUGCCCGCUAGGUAUGGCGCAGGCUACGAGCCUGUGCUAUGCCGUAGCGAAGGCGCUAAGCGGGCCGCCUGGGAAGUACGUUCGCAAGAAUGAAACUUAA
rnacentral:rRNA from 1 species